CCCAGUGGAGGAGCCUGAUGUGGGGCUCGAUCCCAGGACUCUGGGAUCACGCCCUGAGCCGAAGGCAGACGCUUAAUGCCUGAGCCACCCAGGCGGCCCUGGAAACAUCUUUUUAAAAGCACGUACCCCCAAACAAUAUGAUAUGUCAUCUACGGAUACGCAUAUAAACACACCAGUGUAUAUGUAGAUAUGACAGGUGUUCUGGAAGGAUACACAGAAAACACACAGCUUCAAGAAUUGCCAUGUCUGGGUUGGGGAAGAAGGGUUGGAGAGGGGUUAAACGAAGAUUUGACUUCUUUUCCCUAAGAGAAGAGCGAGUUCAUAUCAUGCUUAUGUAAUUAAAAAAGUCAUCAAACAUGUAUAAAGGAAAAUGGGGGUGGAAAUGCUGGGUGACAUGAGCUGUUUAACUUGCGGCCAGGCUCGCAGAAUUAGGGCAAUUUCCGAGGGAUAAGAAGGACGUCCCCAGGCUGCUGCCCUUCCUGGUUGCCAUGUGUACUCACAUUUGGCAUUGUGUUUGCAAAGCACUCUCCUCAUUUUAUUCAUGUUCAUAAAAAACAGCCUCGAGGGCAGGCAGGGUCCGGAUCCCUCCCUUUUUAACAGAGGUGAAAACAGGAGCCCAGAGAGGUGAAGGGACUUGGCUGUGGUCACACAGCAAUUCUCAGUGGUGUCACUCAGAGCUCGCCGCUCUUGGGCCUGUGGGGCUUCUUCCAGAUCUUCCUGCUCUCUGGAGCCUGCAUCUGUAGCUCCUUCCUGGGGAGCUCCUGGGCCUCCCACUUCCUUCUGACCUCCCAACUGCUACAGGAGCUGCAGCUUCUUGGUCAGAUGGUGCCCCCUUCCCCCCCCCCAGCAGUAUCUUAGGAUAAAAAUAAACCAUCCUGUUCUCUUUUCCUGCUGUGCCAACUGAGGGGGAGCCUAGCCAGGAGGAGCAGCAGAUGGAGUGGGAGCCGAGGGGAAGGGAUUGGAGGGGAGGGAAGGGGAGGGAAGGAAGGUUGUAGGACAAGGAGAGGGAAGAGCCAAGCAAAGCCCCUGCACAAAGAUUCAUGGUGAGGAUGAGAGCAGGCUGGUUCAACCCAGGGAUCUCAACCCUUCCCCCAGCAAGAAGCGGCUUUGGAUUUCCUCGGUGUGUCCUGCUGGCUGGAGGGUGGGUGUGGAGAGGCCUUGCCCUGGAUGGAGACGGAGGGCAGCUGCGAGCCAAGAGAAGGGCACCUGGGUUGGCAGGCUUCCCAGAGGAGCUUUAAGAACCAUUUGGACGCACCAGGUGGAGACGUUUGGUUUAGAAAGCAGAACAAAGUGGUGGUUGUGGAGUGGAGGGGGAGGGGAGCUUUGGGACCGCUACUCCUCUCCUCUACUUAGAGUCCAAAUCCUAGUGACACUUCUGUGCAGGGCAGUAUGGUGGAAAGAGGCAAAAGACCUUCCUCUGUCACCUUUUGUCUGUGUGACCUUGGUUGUGUCAUUUUCAUCUCUGAGCAGCUCAGUUUUCUCACCUGGCAAAUGCAGACCAUACCUGAUACCCGUACUAGGUGGUAUUGAGUCUUCCUUGUGUUCUCCUGGGUCAGAGGUUCUCAAUCUCAAGCAUGGGUCAGAACCACCUAUCAGACUUACCAAAGAUUGCUGGGCCCCAUGGCCAGUGUUUGAUUGAGUAGGUCUGGGAUGGAGCUCGGCCAUUUGCAUUUUUAACAAGUUCCCUGAAUGAUGCUGAUGCUGCUGGCCCAGAGACCUCACUUUAAGAACUACUGCCCUCCCUCGGCAUGGCAUUCGUAUUUCCAGAUAAGCAGUUGGUUUCCUAUUACAAGCACUUGGGAUCGAUUGCCUUGGGGCUUUCCCUGGUCUCAAAAGCACGCUUGGUGCCGGUGUGUGGAGGGUCAGCUGUACCCUGGAGAGUUACUGCCCCAGAAUACUCUCAACCAAAUAGGAAUGAGAGCUGGAGGAUAGAUGCCCCAGCCCCCUUGCCCUUGGGAGGGACAGAUCUGAAGGGCGGUGUAGGUUUUCCUAGGUUUCUGAGCGGGAUUGAGCCCCAGGUGCCUUGCUGCCACUGGCUUCCUUCCCUCCCCUCUCUUCCCCACCCCCUGUUUCCACACUGGUGCUUCUCGAGUUCAAUCCCCCCCCCCAUAAACUUACCUGCAUCCUUUCCUUAUCACAGAGUCAGUUUCUGGGAGGGGCUCCCCCCAGAGUCCGUGGAACUCAUGCAUGAGAAGGUACAAGUAUAUCUAUCUCAGCGUCCCUGAUAAAGGGACGGGGUUCUUGGCAGCUAUAGCAAGUUCUGGGUUCUAAAUGGAACUCAGCCAGAAACUUUCUAUGUGACCUUGGGAAUGUUACUCUGGUUCUGGAAAUUUUCCCUCCCGAUGUGUGAUGAAGGGCUGGUGCCCUAGGAGUUCUAAGGGUCCCACCAAUUCUAAAAAUAAGUGAAGAUCAUCAACCCACUGUAGGAGUCGCUCUGGCCUGUGGUUGGAGAGGAGGGGGUGGGUGGGUGUGAGGCCUACAUCAGCCAGUAGGUGGCGCCAACGUAACGUGCGAAGACCCUGGCCGCUGGUUUUUGCGGACUUUCAAGCUACAUCCCACCCUCACUUUGGAGAAGAGGCCUUUCCUCUCUGGGGCCCCCUAGGCUUGAGCCUCCUGCUACCUGUACUCUGUAUCUUCCUCCAUUUCUGGCCGUUCAGAGGCCAUCCUCUUCCCUGCCUCCUUCCUUGGACAGGCAUCAACUGCACUUCUACUGAGGCCUCAUCUGGGGCUAGGUCUGUGCGCCGAGUCACUGAGAGUGCUCACGGAUAGAGAGCUCACUAUGUGCUCGGCACAGUGCUAAGAACUUCCUACUCGAUGUCUUAGUCCAGAGGACCACCGUCCAUAAUGCGCAGUCUUUAACACCCAUUUUACAGAUGAGGCUCAGAGGCUGAAUGACUUGCCAAGGUCUGAGGGGUAGAACCAGGAUUUGGGCCUACCCAGGCUGACCCUCAGCCGUGGAUUUUGCCCUGCCAUGGAGCAGGGAAACAGGUACAUGUCAUUUCAGGGCCAUUAAGGGACGGUGUGUCUGUCCACCGCAGGGGGAAAGCCCAGCUAACCUCCAGGGCAGGGGUUGCAAAGUCACGGGCGCAGGAGACAGAGUGAGGCGGACCCCGUGGGGGCAGGAAGAGUCAGGAAGGCAGAGCCUGUGACAAAGUGGGGAGGCUCUGCCUAUCUUUGGGAGGGGGGCAGUGUUGAUCAGUCCCUUUCCAUGUUGCCUUGCAGGAAUGGGAGCUGGAUAUGGCUUCACAUCCAGAUUUCCAUGUGAAAUCUCCCAAUGUUGAAAUGCUACUAAUUCCAAGAAGUUAAAGGUGAGAAACCAAGAAAGCAUGUCAUCGAGGGUUGGAAUUGAAAGAGACUGGGAACGUCAUUGUGUCUGAUCCUUUUGUUUUCUACAUACGGAAACUGAGGCCCUGGGAAGGUCCAGAACUGAGUUAGGCUGAAUGUCAGAGGCAGGCUGUCUCCUUCAUCGCAACCCAGCCUGGAGGCAGGAGAGAGCUCCUGGGGGCCCAGGCUCCACCCACAUCUAAGGCACUUCUCACACAGCACCUCACUUGAUCCUGACAACACCCCUUGGAGAGAAUAUGGUUUAUCCUUACAGCUGAACAAGCUGGCCCUCCAGAGCUGGUGUACCAGGGGGUUCUGGACUCUAUCCAGUCCCGUGGCCUUGAACACCACCCGUGACUUCCAGAUGCAGCUCUCCAGACCCAGAAAUUUCCGGCUGCCUUCUUGAUAUCUCCGCUUGGAUGUCAACAGAUAGUGACAAACUUUCCUUUGAAGAUAAAACAAAAAAGAUCUGAUAAACGACUUGUAUGCAAAAUACAUAAAGAACUCUCCCAACUCAACCAUAAGGGACAAAGGACACAAUUUAAAAUUGGGCAAAGGACUUAAAUAGACAUGUCUCCAAAGACGACAUACAAAUGGCCAAUAAGCACAUGAAAAGGUGCUUAACAUCAUGAAUCAUCAGGGAGACGCAAAUCAAACCUCAAUGAGCCACCACUUCACACCUGUUAGGAUUUAGCUACGGAUGUGGCUCAAAUGAAAAGGACAGACAACUGAAAGUGUAAGCAAGGAUGGAGAAACACUGGAAUGCUCAGACAUUGCCGGUGAAAUUGUAAAAUGGCACAGUCACUUUGGAAGGAGUCGGGCAGUUCCUCUUCCUCAACAGGUUACACGUGGGGUUACGGUAUGACCCAGCAAUUCCACGCCUCGGAGAUGUAUACUCAAGAGAACUGAACACACCUCCGUGCACAGAACUUGUAUGGGAGUGUUGCUAGCAGUGCUAGUCGAAAUAGCCAAGAGGUGGAAACAACUCAAAUCCAUCAACUGAUGACUGGAUGAAGAAAGCGUGGUAGACCCAGGCACUGGAAUAUUAGGCAGCAGUGGAAAGGGACGAAGUCCCGAUGCGCACUACAGCGUGGAUGAAUCUGAAAACCAGUUUGCUAAUUGAAAAGAGCCCGUCGUAAAAGGCCACACAUUGUAUGACUCCGUGCGUAUGAAAUAUCCAGAACAGGCAAAUCCAUAGACACAGAAAACAGCUUAGUGGUUGCUGGGGGCUGUGGAGGCGUGGGAUGGGGAGUGGAAUGGGGAGUAACUGAUCAUGGAUACAGGAUUUCUUUUGGGGGUGUUGAAAAUGUUCUGGAAUUAGAUGGGAGGGAUAUACGACUCUGUGGAUAUGUGGAAAACCCCUGAAUUGUGCACUUUCAAAAGGUGGAUUUUAGGGGCGCCUGGGUGGCUCAGUCAGUUAAGCGUCCGAUUCUUGAUUUCAGCUCAGGUCAUGAGCUCAGGGUCGUCAGAUCGAGUCCCGAGUUGGGCUCUGUGCUCAGCAGGGAGU